AUUGAACGCUGGCGGCAGGCCUAACACAUGCAAGUCGAGCGAGCGGCGGACGGGUGAGUAAUGUAUGGGGAUCUGCCCGAUAGAGGGGGAUAACUACUGGCAACGGUGGCUAAUACCGCAUAAUAUCGUAUGAACCCCUAUGGGAUUAGCUAGUAGGUGGGGUAAAUGCUCACCUAGGAGACUAUCUCUAUCUGGUCUGCGAGGAUGCUCAGCCACACUGGGACUGAGACACGGCCCAGACUCCUACGGGAGGCAGCAGUGGGGAAUAUGGCACAAGGGGCGCAAGCCUGAUGCAGCCAUGCCGCGUGUAUGAAGAAGGCCUUAGGGGUGGAAAGUACUUUCAGCGGGGAGGCGUUACCCGCAGAAGAAGCACCGGCUAACUCCGUGCCAGCAGCCGCGGUAAUAC
rnacentral:rRNA from 1 species